AUGUACUCAAGGCCACCAAACACUUAAAAAUGAUGAAACCUGGAUUGGCAUCUAUACAGUCAAGGAUUGCUAUCCUGUCCAGGAAACCUUUACCAUAAACUACAGUGUGAUAUUGUCUACGCGGUUUUUUGACAUCCAGCUGGGUAUUAAAGACCCCUCGGUGUUUACCCCUCCAAGCACGUGCCAGAUGGCCCAACUGGAGAAGAUGAGCGAAGACUGCUCCUGGUGAGCCUGUGCAUAGGGAAGCGGCAGCAUCGGAUGUCAGCCCCCUGCGGCCCCAGCUGGAGAUGGAUAUGAGACUAGUCAAGAUGUGAAUGCUAAUUGGAGAGAAAUAUAAUUUUAGGAAGAUGCACAUUGAUGUGGGGUUUUGAUGUGUCUGAUUUUGACUACUCAAGCUCUGUUUACAGAAGAAAAUUGAAUGGCGAGGGUGUGGCCAUAUGAACUGACUAGAUGGCUAAUAUGGACACUUUGGGUAUUUCUAAUGCCUGUUCAGGGCUGGUUUUCUGCAUGCACGGGUAUACACAUAAUGCAGUGCCAUGCACAUAGGGAAGGGUCAGUAAGAGAAGUUUGCCUUGGCAGCAAGUAUUUAUUGUUGACAUUAUUCAGAAUUAGUGAUAAUAAAAAGCAGAGUGAUUUUGGUCAAUUUUAUUAUUAAUUCUUAAAUUCCCUGCAGAGAAUGCCCCCUUUAUUGCUGCACCAGGGUUGGCAUUGCUCCCACUGAGCCCUACUCCACCCUGUCCCUGCACUCCCUUGGUUGCCAAAAAAAUGAUAACUUAAAUCCCUUCCAGACUUAAGAAUUUUAUGGCAUGGCCCAAUUGAUAUAAACAUUUAGAAGGAAAUGAAAAGCUAAAAUAGGAAGUAAUUAUUCCUCUAAAGAAACAUUUUGAGCAAGGCAGUUUAGAGAAUCCUAAUGUCUACACUGGCAUAGCACGAGCCAUGUAAGCUUCUUUUUUUUCUAUGCAAGAGUAUUGAUGUAUGUGCUGAAUCUUCACAGACUUGUCAAUACACAGGCAGUAUUCUAAAAUAGCACUGAACAGGGAGUCAGGAGACUAUUGUCUCCUAAACCCAGGACUAGAGUUCCCUCGUACUGUCACUCCUUUGGUCAUUAAAUGCACUGGGCUUGCCCGCACUUUGGCCUUCCUAGAACACUGCUUCAUAACCUCUCUGUCUGACUUCUGCAUCUCCUUCCAGGUCAGCUCAUUCACAAGAGUUGCUCCCAAGCCUGGAUGAGUUGCACCUUGCAUCUUGAGCAUGCAUUUCUCACAAUAAUUAUUAAGCUGUGUGAUAAUUUCUGCUUUCAGGACACUCAUCCAUUAUCUUGGCUGUGAGCUCCUUGGGUACGGGUACCUUGUAUGUUUACUUUUAUAUCCCUAGCACAAAGCAAGUGCCUGGCACAUAGUCAGUGCCCUAAGUAUUCGUAGAGUGAAGAAUGCCAGCCUCUCUUGUCCCUGGUUUCCUUAUGUGUUGAAUGUGGUUGAGUUUGUCCAUUGCUAGGGAGAGACUUCCAGUAAUAAAAUUUACUAUUCUAGAUGCUUCUACUGUUAUGUUUUAUCUGCCCAUUUAUCUUUCUUAGUUACCAGGAGAAAUGUGUGACACCUAUAUUAUAAUGAAAACAAUCUCAUUACUUAUAGUUUAUCUAUAUUAAACAAAUUUAAUUGCAUUUUAAAGCAUUCUUUGAUACUGUUGCUUUUGCAAUAAAUAUGGAUAAUCUUGGUUAUAAGGGAGUUAAAACAAUGCUGUAAUAAAUAAAGUG
rnacentral:lncRNA from 1 species